UCCUGCAUAUCCUGGAUCUCCUUGAUGAUUUUCCAUAACUUUUGGAGCUUUUAGAAUAUUUGGGCGGCCUCUUCAAAACUUCAAGAGCUUCAGUCCUCAAUUCUUCGGAGCCAUCUUGAUUCACCGAUGCCUGCCAGUGGCAAUAGAUGUUCUGAUAAUGCAAAUAUACGUGUCUGAAGGAGCAUCCCAAACUUCAUGGCACAACUCCUCGAUGUCGAUAUCCAUCA
rnacentral:lncRNA from 1 species